AGAAAUUGUGGUUGAUUCAGAACACACCUUUGUGGAAAGUGACAUCAAGUGGACACCAAGUGAAUUUCUUUCUGCAAUACUCAACAUUAGAGUAUCAUCUACAACGGCUUCUCCAGUGACUCCAAAACGUGUUGCUUUGACUUCAACAUCAACUCCAUCAAUAAUAUCUGGUUCAGCAGUGGUUCAGACCAGGAUGGUUUUCAGUUCCACCUCAUCAAUUCCCAGUAAAAGUUUGGUCCUCAGUUCAAUUCAGACUCUUCUGAGUGUUCAACUCACAAACCUCAUUGAC